GACAGAGGGUGCAAACGUUGUUCGGAAUUACUGGGCGUAAAGCGUGUGUAGGCUGCCCCGCAAGUCGGGUGUGAAAGCCCCGGGCUCAACCUGGGAACUGCGCUUGUAACUAGCGGGCUAGAGUGCGGCAGAGGGGGGUGGAAUUCCACGUGUAGCAGUGAAAUGCGUAGAUAUGUGGAGGAACACCGAUGGCGAAGGCAGCCCCCUGGGCUAGUACUGACGCUCAUGCACAAAAGCGUGGGGAGCAAACAGG
rnacentral:rRNA from 1 species